ACGCUAGCGGCAGGCCUAAUACAUGCAAGCUGAACGGUAAAUAUUAUAGCAAUAUGAUAUGAGAGUAGCGUAAGGGUGCGUAACACGUAUGCAAUCUGCCCUGUACAGGAGAAUAGCUCGGCGAAAGCCGGAUUAAUACUCCGUAAUAUUGUUGGGUGGCAUCACCUGAUAAUUAAAGUCGCAAGACGGUAUGGGAUGAGCAUGCGUCUGAUUAGCUAGUUGGUAGUGUAACGGACUACCAAGGCGAUGAUCAGUAGGGGAACUGAGAGGUUGAUCCCCCACACUGGCACUGAGAUACGGGCCAGACUCCUACGGGAGGCAGCAGUAGGGAAUAUUGGUCAAUGGAUGCAAGUCUGAACCAGCCAUGCCGCGUGCAGGAAGAAGGCCUUCUGGGUUGUAAACUGCUUUUGCCGGGGGAUAAAAAGCUCAUGCGUGAGCAAUUGAAGGUACCCGGUGAAUAAGCCACGGCUAACUACGUG
rnacentral:rRNA from 1 species